rnacentral:ncRNA from 1 species
GAGGGAUGUCGCCGGAGAACGCAAGGGUGUUGUACCAGCAUGGACAAUUAGUCCAUGUGGCAGUUGCGCCGGGAAUUCCUCAUUUU